GCUCUCAUCUCCCUCUUUCUCUCUUUUAUGAUAAAAAAACUGCAGGCGGGCGGCGAUGGGGUCGACAACGAUCAGAAGAGGGUUGAAUGCUCUGCUUGUAGACACGGUUUUGGGGGAGCAGUUGCAAACAUGUUUGUAUUUAUCUAACAUUAACAGAGCAAGCUUCCCCAAGGGUUUUGUUUUCGGCACUGCUUCCUCUGCUUUCCAGGACUGAUCGAACGUAUAAUAUGGUGCACGCACACGACACAUGAAGUGAAGACCUGAAGACCCUAUUUAUGUUGUAUUGUAAUUUAAUCAUUCAUUUGGGUCUGUAAUAGUAAUUAGGAGAACACGAUCUGUAAUAAUUAAUGCCUUACCUGCAUGGAAGGAUCGAUAAGCUCAAGA